rnacentral:rRNA from 1 species
UACGGGGGGAGCAAGCGUUGUUCGGAUUUACUGGGCGUAAAGGGCGCGUAGGCGGCCACCGCAAGUCAAUUGUGAAAUCUCCGGGCUUAACUCGGAAAGGUCAACUGAUACUGCGGGGCUAGAGUGCGGGAGGGGCAACUGGAAUUCUCGGUGUAGCGGUGAAAUGCGUAGAUAUCGAGAGGAACACCUGCGGCGAAGGCGGGUUGCUGGGCCGACACUGACGCUGAUGCGCGAAAGCCAGGGGAGCGAACGGG